CCCUGGUUAGCUGAGUUGGUAGAGCGCUCAACUGGAGAUUGAGACAUUCCGUUUUCGAUCCCCGGACCAGGCA
rnacentral:tRNA from 1 species